rnacentral:rRNA from 1 species
GAGUUUGAUCGUGGCUCAGAUUGAACGCUGGCGGCAGGCUUAACACAUGCAAGUCGAGCGGAGAUGAGGUGCUUGCACCUUAUCUCAGCGGCGGACGGGUGAGUAAUGCUUAGGAAUCUGCCUAUUAGUGGGGGACAACAUUCCGAAAGGGAUGCUAAUACCGCAUACGUCCUACGGGAGAAAGCAGGGGAUCUUCGGACCUUGCGCUAAUAGAUGAGCCUAAGUCGGAUUAGCUAGUUGGUGGGGUAAAGGCCUACCAAGGCGACGAUCUGUAGCGGGUCUGAGAGGAUGAUCCGCCACACUGGGACUGAGACACGGCCCAGACUCCUACGGGAGGCAGCAGUGGGGAAUAUUGGACAAUGGGGGGGAACCCUGAUCCAGCCAUGCCGCGUGUGUGAAGAAGGCCUUAUGGUUGUAAAGCACUUUAAGCGAGGAGGAGGCUACUGAGACUAAUACUCUUGGAUAGUGGACGUUACUCGCAGAAUAAGCACCGGCUAACU